AAUUCGUUCAUUGAAUUGAGAAAAAGAAGAAGGAGUAGAAGAAAUUGACAGAUAGCUCCAGCGAAAGAAGAAGAAAAGAAUAACAAAGAAAGAUGAUCUACAGGAAAUGGAGUCUCCUUACUGGCCCAAUGUCAAUUCUAGGCGGAAUAGUCGGUGCUGUGGUCGUCGCCAAUUUCAUCUUCGUUAAAAACGAUCCAUUCCUUACACCACGAGAGAAGAGGCCAGAUGCACCACCAGCAACCAAGUAAAAGAAAGGAGGAUUACAGUUGGCAUUAAGGUUGUAGCAGGACCCUGCUUUGUUGAGUACAUUUGUUUAGCAAACUUGACUUUUGAUUGGGUCAUGAAUAAUAAUAUGAGUAAUAAUUUUAGAUUCUGAAUCAAAAUGUGAGUAAUGUUCCAGUGCUGUAUUUGUGGUUUUUAACUCACUGAUGAAGUUCUUUCUGAAUGAAAAGAACUACUUAUGUUUAAAUUGCAAUCUGAGUCAUGAAUUCUUAUUCGAAUGAUAUUGAGUCUGUUUCUCAAAAAAAGAAAAGAAAAAAAGAAUGAUAUUGAGUCUGAAUGAAAA